rnacentral:rRNA from 1 species
CCUACGUGUGGCAGCAGUGAGGAAUAUUGGUCAAUGGACGGAAGCCUGAACCAGCCAAGUAGCGUGCAGGAUGACGGCCCUAUGGGUUGUAAACUGCUUUUAUACGGGAAUAACGCGCCUUACGUGUAGGGCUUUGCAUGUACCGUAUGAAUAAGGACCGGCUAAUUCCGUGCCAGCAGCCGCGGUAAUACGGAGGGUCCGGGCGUUAUCCGGAUUUAUUGGGUUUAAAGGGAGCGUAGGCCGCAUGUCAAGCGUGCUGUGAAAUGUCCGGGCUCAACCCGGGCCUUGCAGUGGGAACUGGCGGGCUUGAGUUCGCGGAAAGCAGGCGGAAU